UGGGUUGUGGCUCAGCGGUAGAGCACUUGCCUAGCAUCUGCGAGGCCCUGGGUUCAAUCCUCAGCACCACAU
rfam:Ictidomys tridecemlineatus contig099167, whole genome shotgun sequence.